GAUGGACUGUGGAACCCACGGUCAGUCUGCUACAGCAGCACCACAUCAUCCAUCAUUGUGGGACAGGGGUGGUACGACAGCAUCCUGGUGUUCAGAGUGGAAUAGUGUGUACAUUCGCUGCUGAGUCAGGACAAGGAUGCUGAGGAUGUGGUGGACAAGGAUGACCUGAAUACACAGAAGGAGAGCCCCGGUUUUGAUAUAGAGUUGGUACGGCAACAGCACCAGUCGGGCCCGCACAAGCCUCAAGUCAAGCACGACCCCUCCCCUGACCCCUAGCUUCUCCCAUUUGACUUCCAGCUUCAAAGGGUCAGCAUCGUUGAACAAAUUCCUCCUAUAAAAAAUUUUUAGCACAAAGAGUUUUCACACAUGGUUCUCAUCAACCACAAUUUUCGUGUCGAGUGAUCCGCACUUUAGCCUGUUUGGUUUGUUAGACCCGAGUGCCAGAGAUGGGACAACCGUUACAGACACAAGGACUUAUUGCAGAAGUUAUGGCAACAUGUACAGUCAGUUCUCAAUGUUGGACUUCACAACUAAUAUCACGAUAAAUACAAAGUUGGAUAACUCGUUCCAUUCUUUUUGGGACAAACAAUACAACGGAAAGUAACAAGAGAAAAUCAAGGAAUAUUUGUAGAGUUUUAGUCCGAAGCGUAUGCUUACCACUGGCAUACUCCUGGACAGUCGUUACUUUACGGACAGUCCCGGUUUGUCCUCACAGGUGUCCAAACUGUCCAAAGAGAAUGCACUUUUGACGCAGUUGCUAACUUAAAAAGGCAGCACCUACUUUGUUGUGAACACUCAGAGCAUCCAUGGCCAUGCCUCAGGCGGGAAGUUCGACCAACAGCUGAAACAAGAUGCUAAAGGUGAACCCAUCAGGGUUUGUAACUUCCCACUCCAAUCCUUAACAGCCUGGCAUGGAGUCGGCGCUUGAGAAGGCGUUGAAAAAUGACAGCAGUUUUGUUUUGUGGUCCAGUAUGCCCUUUGGCUCUCAACCUGAUGUUAGGUAGAACUCAAACUGGGCCCUUAGCAAUAUCAGCGAGGCUAGAAUGUCAUCUCUGCAUCUUGAGCUUCAGAAAACAUUAUAAGCAAACAAGACAAACAUCAUGAAUGUUUAGGCAAUCCCAAUCCACUUAGUGCACAAAUACUACAACUCGCUCAGGAAAUUCAGCACGCCACCUUUUAACAUAUUCUCACAAGGCGCUAAAUCUACACUUCCAACAGCUGAGCCUUGGUGAGUUCAACUUUCAUCACGACGAGUCACUCGAGGUGAAACAAUCUUAUCCACAGAUAGAGCAGGCGCUGAGUGACUCGCCUCUUAAAGUGACUGACCUCCAUAUGUUGCUCUCCAAUAAUAUGAACCUGACGCCUGAGGAGCAGCGUUGUCCUACAUUCCCGGUUCAGGGUGGUGACUUUGGCGUCAAGACUCACACAAUCUCUGGCUAUGGCAGCAGCAGCAACAAAAACAGGAAGUAUUUCAGCUGCGCUCUGUGAAAACAUGGCUUAAUGCAUGUGCCUUAAGUGUUUUACCCACAAAAGCGUGUUAAGUCUGCCCAAGCUAAUUUGUGACCACACUUUCCGAAUAUACCUUCAAACAAAGAAUUCCAUAAAAGCUGAAAGUGUCGUGGCUGAUUAGUUUGUACAGGCAAAUCUGGAACAACUCUUUACGCUAUAAAUGCAUUUAGCCCAGUUUUUAAUGAGUUUAGAGUUGCACAUUUAGUUCACGUUACAUCAGCUUUUUGCUGACCUUUCUGUAGAAAAGUUCCUAUUACUGAUCAGGAAUUUUGUGUUUUUAAAUUGUAAAUUGGUCAAACUGAGUAAAUAAAUACAUAUAAGAGUUGAUUUGAUAUCAGUUUUAAUCAUAAAGGGUCAGGGCAUAUUUUCAUACAUUUUUGUGCCAAAAUUCAGCCUCUAAACCAAAAGGUUUUUGUUUUGUUUUUCACAUGUAUAUUUACAAAAUUCCCCUUGCAUAAAUUAAAGAAAAUACCUAUUAAAUGCUGGUUAAUUUUAAUUAAACAAUCAUUGAAAUGCAGUCAACAUUCUAUGAAAUAAUUAUCUGCAUUUAUUUUUAAAUAAGGAUAUCUAUAAAUUAAAAUUAACCACCUGUCCAAGUUUUAAGUAUACAAAUAUGCCGCUGGAGUAAGAAUAUGCCCUGAAGAUAUUUAUUCAUUAUACCCCUGUGAUGAUUGGGGUAUAUAGGAAUCACCUUGGAUGGAUGUCUGUCGGUCUUAGUAAAUGUUUGUGGCCUGUGGGUGUUCACUUACAAAUUCAACGUUCAGCAUUCAAACUUUCAGGUAUUUUCAUUCUCAUAUGAGGUUGUGCAUCUAAAUUUUGUAUCAUAUUUCACUGAAAAUUACAACACUUAGACAAUCUAUAACAUCAUGCGACAUAUUAUGACUUGCAUCAUUGGGUGAUAUUUUUGUCACAAUGAUAACAAAUUAU